rnacentral:tRNA from 1 species
GAGGGUAUAGCUCAAACAGUAAAGUGCAUGCUUGGUAUGCAUGAGGUCCUGGGUUCAAUUCCCAGAACCUCCU